rnacentral:rRNA from 1 species
UACAGAGGGUGCGAGCGUUAAUCGGAAUUACUGGGCGUAAAGCGUGCGUAGGCGGUCGUGUAAGUCGGGUGUGAAAGCCCCGGGCUCAACCUGGGAAUUGCAUUCGAGACUGCACGGCUGGAGUGCGGAAGAGGGAAGCGGAAUUUCCUGUGUAGCGGUGAAAUGCGUAGAUAUCGUAAGGGACAUCAGUGGCGAAAGCGGCUUCCUGGUCCAGCACUGACGCUCAGGCACGAAAGCGUGGGGAGCAAUCAGG